GAUGAACGCUGGCGGCGUGCCUAAUACAUGCAAGUCGAGCGAACAGACGAGGAGCUUGCUCCUCUGACGUUAGCGGCGGACGGGUGAGUAACACGUGGAUAACCUACCUAUAAGACUGGGAUAACUUCGGGAAACCGGAGCUAAUACCGGAUAAUAUAUUGAACCGCAUGGUUCAAUAGUGAAAGACGGUUUUGCUGUCACUUAUAGAUGGAUCCGCGCCGCAUUAGCUAGUUGGUAAGGUAACGGCUUACCAAGGCGACGAUGCGUAGCCGACCUGAGAGGGUGAUCGGCCACACUGGAACUGAGACACGGUCCAGACUCCUACGGGAGGCAGCAGUAGGGAAUCUUCCGCAAUGGGCGAAAGCCUGACGGAGCAACGCCGCGUGAGUGAUGAAGGUCUUCGGAUCGUAAAACUCUGGUAUUAGGGAAGAACAAAUGUGUAAGUAACUAUGCACGUCUUGACGGUACCUAAUCAGAAAGCCACGGCUAACUACGUG
rnacentral:rRNA from 1 species